rnacentral:misc_RNA from 1 species
AAGUCGUAACAAGGUUUCCGUAGGUGAACCUGCGGAAGGAUCAUUAUUAAAAGUCAAUGAGUGCACUUAAUUGUGGCUCAGAAACCUUUAUAAAUCUUUUCACCCAUUAACCCAAAGCUGUCUUGUGUUCCCUUAUCUUUGUAUAAGGGUAAUAGCAAUUCAGUAGUACGCAUCAUGGAAAUUGCCUUUAUUGGAAUGUUCAAGUUGCAUUAACCCCCCCUUAUCAGUGACCCCCAUUUUUUUUAUUAACACUAAAAUAAGUUUUAAGAAUGUAAACCCCCUUUAAAUUAAAUAUAACUUUUAACAAUGGAUCUCUUGGCUCUC